rnacentral:rRNA from 1 species
GAUGAACGCUGGCGGCGUGCCUAAUACAUGCAAGUCGAGCGAACAGAUAAGGAGCUUGCUCCUUUGACGUUAGCGGCGGACGGGUGAGUAACACGUGGGUAACCUACCUAUAAGACUGGGAUAACUUCGGGAAACCGGAGCUAAUACCGGAUAACAUUUGGAACCGCAUGGUUCUAAAGUGAAAGAUGGUUUUGCUAUCACUUAUAGAUGGACCCGCGCCGGAUUAGCUAGUUGGUAAGGUAACGGCUUACCAAGGCGACGAUACGUAGCUGACCUGAGAGGGUGAUCGGCCACACUGGAACUGAGACACGGUCCAGACUCCUACGGGAGGCAGCAGUAGGGAAUCUUCCGCAAUGGGCGAAAGCCUGACGGAGCAACGCCGCGUGAGUGAUGAAGGGUUUCGGCUCGUAAAGCUCUGUUAUUAGGGAAGAACAAAUGUGUAAGUAACUGUGCACGUCUUGACGGUACCUAAUCAGAAAGCCACGGCUAACUACGUG